CUGCCCGUAGCUCAGAUGGACAGAGCGGCGCACUACGGAUGCGCAGGUCGGGGGUUCGAAUCCUCCCGGGCAGG
rnacentral:tRNA from 2 species